GGGCCGCAACCCCCUCUCAAAGCACUCCGCUCGGUCCCGGUUACUAUGAAUCAAUCCCGGUACACAAUUCACCAAAUGCGAUAAUUCCCGCUCGUACUCCCACACAGAACGACUUCCCUGCCUCAACUUGAGAAAAUCCUCUUUCAUUUUUCGCUUAUCACUAUCGGAGAAGUACUCCAUUAGUAGCAACCCCCGAAAUUCUUCCCAAGUCAACGAAGGAAGAUCCGCAGACCGAUUCUUCUUAACUCACGU
rnacentral:lncRNA from 1 species